rnacentral:lncRNA from 1 species
UCUCCUGCAUCAGCCUCCCGAGUAGCUGGGAUUUCAGGUUUAAUGAAGCCAGCUGUCAUGUUGAUGAGACUCAUGUGUCAAGGAACUGAAGAUGGUCCAUAGCCAACAGCCAGCCAGGAACUGAUUGGCUAGUAGUCCUUGAGGAACUGAAUCUCACCAACAACCAUAUAGUGAACUUGCAAAUGGUGCUUCCUCAGUUGAAACUAAAGAUGAGACUGAAGUCCUAGUUAACACUUUGUUUGCCACCUUGUAAGAUUGUGAAACAGAGGCCUGAGCUAAGCCAUGCCCAGAUUCUUGAUCCACAGAAACUGUGAGAUAAUAAAUGUGCAUUGAUUUAA